GGGUGGGUGCCAGCAGCAGGAGUUACAGAAGAGACCAUAAUGAAAGAGCCAUAAGCCAAGGGAGGCAGCGGCCUGGGGAGCUGGAAGAGCCUCCCAAAGGCUUUUAGCCACAAGAAAAAUCACUGUGGAUUUCUACUUCUCACGGGCAACAAAUGGCUUUGUGACUGGUACCAGCCCCUGAUCCUGCAGUUGUUGGAAAUUAGCCCAGCAGGAGAGCGGCUGCAUCCAUUUCCUUUGGACCCUAAGUGUCUCUCUCCCUAGAUUCUGGAGUUCACCCAUCAGGCAAGACUGAGAGCCCCAGGGAUCAACCUGUCUCCACCUCCACAUCAUUGGGAUUAUGCAUAUGUUCCACAUGCCCCACUUUUUACUCUGUGCUGGGACUGAAUUUAGUUCCCAAUGGUUGAAACAGAUGAAAAGGACGCCUCCCUCUGACAUCUUCCUCCCACUGCCUUCUACCCACCAUCCUCUGCCAGUCUGACCUUGGUGCAAACAGGAGGCAAACCCACAAUGAGGAACACAGAAAGUAUUCUCGAAGCCGUCAUCAGAACUGUGAAGAGAGCAAAGAUAAGAAGAAUCCAAGGCGCCAUCAGCCCUGAGAGACACGGCAGGCAAACAUGAGUCAGACGC